AUGCCGGAGCUGCCGGAGGUGGAGGCGGCGCGGCUGGCGCUGGAGGAGCACUGCGUCGGGAAGCGGAUCGUGCGCUGCUCCGCCGCGGAGGACACCAAGGUCAUCGACGGCGUCGCCCCGUCGCGGCUGGAGGCGGCGCUGGUCGGGAGGACCAUCGCCGCCGCGCGCCGCAAGGGCAAGAACCUAUGGCUCGUGCUGGAUUCGCCGCCGUCGCCCUCCUUCCAGUUCGGAAUGGCUGGAGCUAUUUACAUCAAGGGUGUGGAGCUGAGCAAAUAUAAAAGGUCUGCAGUGAGCCCAACUGAGGAAUGGCCUUCAAAGUACUCCAAACUAUUUGUUGAAUUGGAUGAUGGCUUGGAGUUCUCCUUCACUGAUAAGAGGCGUUUUGCAAAAAUACGGUUGUUUGACAACCCAGAAGCUGUCCCUCCAAUUUCUGAACUUGGACCAGAUGCCCUAUGCGAACCAAUGCAGCUUGAUGAUUUUGUACAAUCUUUUGGUAGAAAGAAUGCGCCAAUAAAAUCCCUUUUGCUUGAUCAGAGCUUUAUGUCAGGAAUCGGCAACUGGAUGGCAGAUGAGGUGCUUUAUCAGGCAAGGAUCCAUCCUAUGCAAACUUCAUCGAAGAUAUCCAAGGAGAAGUGCAAGGCACUCCAUCGGUGCAUCAAAGAGGUGAUUGAAAAAUCCGUUGAAGUUGGUGCUGACAGCAACGAAUUUCCAGAGAACUGGAUAUUUCAUUCUAGGGAGAAGAAACCCGGCAAGGCCUUUGUAGAUGGGAAGAAAAUCGACUUUGUUACAGUAGGCGGCAGGACAUCGGCGUACGUUCCAGAGCUGCAGAUUCUGGAUGGGGCUGAUGCUGCAGCAGCAAACAGGUCAAAGAAAGGCAGAGACAAGGCAGAGGAAAAUGUGGGCAAAACGUCCAAGAAAGGCCAGAAGGCUGCUCCGAAGGAAGGGGGGAAGACGGCACAGAAGACAUCUGUUGAUGAAGAGGAAGAGGAGGACGAUAAACCAGCAAAGCAAAGAGCCAAGGGGGCAAAGGCCCCACCGAAGAAAGCGGGUAAUACUCGUGCUGAUGAUCACAAGGAGGGCGGAGACGAAGAUGAAGGGGCGAAGCCCGCCAAGAGGGGGAGGAAGCGACCAGCAAAGGGCCCAUCGAAGAAAGAAGGUUGUUCUUCAGACGAUGAAGACUCGCUUGGCAAGGAAGAGACUGUGGUCGCGGCAAAGAGGCCGCAGAGAAAGAAGCGGUGA
rnacentral:rRNA from 1 species